ACACCUUUCUAGUUGUUUUUCCAAACUUUGCAUCCUGUCUAACAUCCAAUGCAAACUCUUGGAAAUGUGCAAAGGCAUGCAGAAAAACAAAGUUUAAAGGGCGGAGAGGUUUCAGAUUUGGGAGGAAAAAAACAACACAAAAACAAAGUUAGAGUACAUUUGUUGGCUUCAGGCCAGCCGACAUACCCUGAAACAGGACUAAACCUGCCUUCGACUUUUAUGAUUGGUUAACUUGUUUCUGGCGAAGCCAAUCAGUGAGCUGACUAACGCUCUGUUGUGAGGGCAGAUGGGAUGUAGGGGAAAGGUCUCAAAGCAAACUUUUUGUUGCCCUUCCCCCGACAUGUGGGAGACAACACCAGAAGUAAAUGUUUAUGUCCCGUGAAGUGAGGAUGACGUGUACUUUUUGUGAACUGUGGUUGAAAAGUCUUCCUGUUCUCUUUGUUGGAGAACAAAAUUCCCUCACAGAGUUCAAAUCUGUGAAGCUCUGACUCCAGAUAAGAUCCAGACAAGAUCACUACUUCUCAGCCACAACAAACUCGGGUUCAAUGAAGUUGUUUAUGACAAAGCACUUCUGGGAAUAUUGGCCUCGGGCUGCAGUGAGGGAGUAUAAUGACUGUCUCGUGAGUACACUAGUUUCCAGUUCCUUCGCACAGGAUCCUUGAAAAAAAAACAAAAAACACCCAGAACAAAGCCGCUGUUGAGCUCCUGCCAAGAUAUCAGCCAGACUGAAACAUCAGAAGGUUUGGUAAAAGAAGGCACAGCCAGAGAGCGUUUACUAGGGUUACCUUUAGGAGCACUUCAUUUUACUGUGAGGUUUUUAAUGUUUACUGGUUAUAGUAAAAUGCUGUCAACAGCUGUCUGAGCAGCUUUUAAAGAGGAAAGCAGUCUGGAAAUCAGCCUCUCUUCCCCCUGCAGCCAACUAGAGAUGGAUAUUUUCUAUUUAUGAAUUCAUUAUGGUGUUAACAAGUUGGCUAAAUUGUGAGAAAUUAGUGCCAGAGUUGAAUUUUAUGGGAUGUCUGCCUUAUAAUUAUCAAUUAAUUUGUUGAAAAAGCGUUGAGCUCCAGACUCCUGUGUAGAUCUGUGAAUCAUCUGUUCCACGCUAAACUCACAAAUUAAGCCUUUGCAGCUGAAGAUGAAGUGCCGUGACAUCCUAUUACCUUGACAAAGCAAUCAUUCGACCUUUUGGGAAAAUGCUGAAAGUUUAAGGAGAAGAUCAAUACCGCUCAUCAAGCUAAGUGUGGUAGCAAUCUUCUUAUCUAACACUCGACAAGAAAGCGAUUAUGUGCAUUUUUCCCCCAAAUGUCGAACUAUUCCUUCAAAGUCUUGAAGUCAAGAGUCUGACAGCAAUGUUGUGAUAAAAAUAAAAGUUUUAAGUGUAUCAAUAAAAAACACCAGGUUCAGUAAACGUGAUGUUUUACCAAAUCAGGUGCAUUACAAUAUCGCAGUUAACAAAAGGAUAAAACUCCUUGAGGAAAUCUACAAAUGGCAUUAUGGACAGAUCCACCACAUUUUUAACAACAUACAUCUGGGCACAGACAUCUACAAAGCGUACCAUACAAGUUGACCCAGUGACAUCAAACGUUGCCAUUUAAAAAUAGACACUUCAUAAAA